GACAGAAACACCACACAGAGAGCCACUUCAAUAUAUAUCCUCCACAGUGGAUGGUAACAUCAUAUGUGUGGGCCAAGAUGGACUGGUUUCCACUUGGACCAGAAACUUAAAAUUGAAGAAAAGUUCUCUUAUACUUGAUGAAAAUGAAAACAAACUGCAAAACAGGAAGAUGAAGUGGGUUUCUGACUCCAUUUUAAUGCCUCAUUACAACAAGCUAAUUGUUGGGACCUGUGAUAGAGAGAUACGUCUGUAUGAGCUCUCCACCUUGGAACCGUAUUGCCAAAUUAUUGGCCUUGAAACAAUGCCUCUGUGUUUGGACUAU